CCUACGGGUGGCAGCAGUAGGGAAUCUUGCGCAAUGGGCGAAAGCCUGACGCAGCGACGCCGCGUGAGGGAUGAAGGUCUUCGGAUCGUAAAACUCUGUCAGUAGGGAAGAACGGUCACUGUGCUAAUCAGCAGUGAAUUGACGGUACCUGCCAAGGAAGCCACGGCUAACUCCGUGCCAGCAGCCGCGGUAAUACGGAGGGUGCGAGCGUUAAUCGGAAUUAUUGGGCGUAAAGCGCUCGUAGGCGGUAUGUCAAGUCAAGGGUGAAAUCCCCGCGCUCAACGGGGGAACUGCCUUUGAAACUGGCAAACUGGAGUGUGUGAGAGGAUAGUGGAAUGCCAGGUGUAGGGGUGAAAUCCGUAGAUAUCUGGAAGAACAUCAGUGGCGAAGGCGACUAUCUGGCACAUAACUGACGCUGAGGAGCGAAAGCGUGGGUAGCAAACAGGAUUAGAUACCCCAGUAGUC
rnacentral:rRNA from 1 species